AUGUGUAUCACAUACACACAUAUAUGGGUGUACAGGUAAGAACAUAUGUAUUCGCGGAGUCCUCCAUUCUUUCUCAUGGUCGACCAAUUCCAAUAUGUAGAUGUUCUGUGACUUACUUAAUUGAUCCUUUAUUGAGCAAUUAGGUGAUUUCCAGUCUUUCCAAGAGGAAGAACCCUUCUGUUGUGAGCUCACAGAUGUGUCUCCAUAGGAUGCUUUCUCAGAAGUGGAAAUUCUGGUUGAAGAACACUUGCUGCCACCACAGGCCUGUGGUCCCAUCUCCCCAAACGCCCAUGGAUGGGAUGUCCUCUGGUCCUCAGGCCUCAGUUGCAGAAGCUGCUUCUAGGGGGUGAUGGGCUGGCUCCUGGGAACUGCUCACCUAUGGAAAUACACAAGAAAUAGACCAGAGGUUGCCUGAUGAGCAGGACACGGCCCCAGGAGGCAGGUGAUGCUAGUGAUGUUGGAGGAAUGCUUUAGAGAAAUUCGUGUGGGGCAAGAAAAGCUAAAGUGUCAACUGGCUGGGCAAACAGCAUCCAGGGAGGUUUUGCUUAAGUGUUUUAAGGUGAGAGAUGUUGGGUUUAAUCCCAAUGGCAAGGGUACCUCGAGAGGGAAAGAGUGAGGAUGGGGGACAUUGAAAGGG
rnacentral:lncRNA from 1 species